GUGCUCGCUUUGGCAGCACAUAUACUAAAAUUGGAAUGAUAGAGAAGAUUAGCAUGGCUCUUGCGCAAGGAUGACACGCAAAUUCGUGAAGCAUUCCAUAUUUUU